rnacentral:tRNA from 1 species
UCCUCGAUAGCUCAAUUGGCAGAGUGAGAGGCCGUUAACCUCUUGGUUCUCGGUUCAAGUCCGAGUCGAGGAG